ACCUCUACUGCUGGCCCUGCAUAUACAAGUGGCUGCAGAGCGCAUCCUCGCAGCAGUGCCCCGUCUGCAAGGCCGCUCUCUCCCAGACGUCCCUCGUCCCGCUCUACGGACGGGGUGACACCACCAAGGUAUCAACUCAAGGGGUUCCUCGUCGCCCCCCUUCCGCCCCUCGUGAGCUACCGAGGGAGCCACUUCCACCAAUGGAG
rnacentral:misc_RNA from 1 species